GAGGUUAUAGCUCGGUAGUUAGAGUACAUGCUUGACAUGCACAAGUUCCUGGGUUCAAUCCCCAGCACCUCCA
rnacentral:tRNA from 1 species